AAAAAUGAAGGCCUUUUAUAAUUCAAUAAUCUGAACUGCCCUCUAUCUGUCAAACCUCCUCAGCAAAAAAUGUGCUUCUGUGAUCUCAUCACUCCUUUGACGUCAUCUUCCCCGCUCUUUACUUCCCUCACUUGAUUUUUUUCUCUACUGUUCUACUUACAGUAUACACUGUCUGUGUGUGUGUGUGUGUGUGUUAUUGCCUGUCUUCCCUCUGGACCGAAGGCUGCACGUGAUUCAGCUCUACAUGUCUGGUUUCCCUUCAGCCUCUAUCCAUUUCUCUUUCCAUCUGUUUCCGCCGCUCCUUCGCUCUUCAUCUCACUUUAAAUUGGUCUUUUAAUUCAUCUGCGUUUCUCUGAAUGUCUCUUCAUCCAUCUCAUUUAAUUGUGACUUCCUCUUCAUCGCUUUCUACGACUUUUUCUCCCUUAAAUGUCUAACCCUUUCUUGUUCUUCCUUUGCCUCCUUAUUCUAUAUGUCUCUCCUUCAUCGUCUUUUUGUAUGGUCUCCAUCUUCUACUGUCCUAAUCACCUUAUUUUCCUGGCUUGACUAGAACUUUAAAGUUAGUGGUAGUUAAUAAAAACACUGCGUCAUCAUCAUCUUUUCUCUAACUGAAAGCAAUUUUAAAUUUUUUUCUGCUGGUCAUUAUAUUCAGUUUUUUAAUCCCUUUAACAUUUCUCUCUCUCUCCUGUCUUCCUUCUGUCUAUUUUCUGUUUCAUUCACGUCUUCUGGAGACCUGCAGGCCUUUUACACAGACACAUACAUGCACAUACACUCUUCACAUAAUAUGUCUUUUUUUAUAAUGGCAUGUGUGUGACAGUUAAUGGCGUUGAUUUCUCACGGUCUAAAUAACAUUUUGAAUCUCUUUGCCCUGCGUGUGUACAUUCAUCACUGCGCCGUACAUGGUAGUAGAACUUAUAUAUAACCCUGUGUAUUAUCUCUAGGUCUAUCUUGAGGCAGUGAUAGUACAUUAGAGUACAGUACUAUGAACAACCGUACUCCCCAGAGACCCUGAAGGCGUCACGCUGCCUCAAAGUAAAUACAACACGAGUCAUUCUCAAUCUGCCUGACUGACUGACUGAUUUACACGCAUCCUUGCUUCUUCUUUCUGUCUUUUCUUUCAUCGGUUUCUUCUCUUUAAAAUUGUUUUCCCUCUACGCUUCAUUCCUUCCUUUCCUGUAUCCAUAUAUACCUCUUUCAUGUUGACCUUCUUCUGUUCUUUGACUUCCCUGCUGUAUGCCUAUGCUCCUUAAGACCCUUCCUUUCUUCCUUCUUUACAUACUGUACAUCUCCAUUUCUUCCCUACAUACUCAAUUUUCUUCCAUAAUCUCUAUGACAUACAUCAUGAAUGUUUUAUUUUCUUCUUCCCUUUCUAACUUUCUUUCCUUUUCUGUUGCUUCCUCUCUUCACAUUCAGAUUAAUUCCUAAUUCAUCUGUAAAGUAGUUUAUGUGAUACAUAUUUAAAGUUAUUUGAAAGUGUACUUUGAAUGUAAAUAAUGGACCGCCCCCCUACCAAAACCACAGAGCCCCCCCACAUAGCAAAUUCCAAUUCAACCCUUGCCUCUGAGCCUGCGUCUGGAUCGAUAAAGGGGAGGUGAGAGAGCAGUCGGCCUUUACGCUCGUUUCAUUGUGGCAUGAGCAGAAUCACUUUGGAGGGAAGAAAGAAAGCAUAACUGAAAAAGAUGUCUGUGUUUUGUGAUUCAACUUCUCUCUCAUCCUUUGCCUUUUUGCCCUUGCUUGGUCUACAGUCUUUAUCUUUAUUUUUAUAUCUCUCUUUCCUCCAUCUGAUUCUGCUUAUGCCAC